CCUACGGGUGGCAGCAGUGGGGAAUAUUGCACAAUGGGGGAAACCCUGAUGCAGCGACGCCGCGUGAGUGAAGAAGUAUCUCGGUACGUAAAGCUCUAUCAGCAGGGAAGAAAAUGACGGUACCUGACUAAGAAGCCCCGGCUAACUACGUGCCAGCAGCCGCGGUAAUACGUAGGGGGCAAGCGUUAUCCGGAUUUACUGGGUGUAAAGGGAGCGUAGACGGCAGCACAAGUCUGGAGUGAAAUCCCGGGGCUUAACCCCGGAACUGCUUUGGAAACUGUGGGGCUUGAGUGCGGGAGGGGCAGGCGGAAUUCCUGGUGUAGCGGUGAAAUGCGUAGAUAUAAGGAGGAACACCGGCGGCGAAGGCGGCCUGCUGGACCGUAACUGACGUUGAGGCUCGAAAGCGUGGGGAGCGAACAGGAUUAGAUACCCUAGUAGUC
rnacentral:rRNA from 1 species